rnacentral:rRNA from 1 species
GACAUAGGUUGCGAACGUUAUCCGGAAUUAUUGGGCGUAAAGGAUGCGUAGAUGGUUUGAUAAGUUAUCAGUGGCAAAUCGGGGCUCAACCUCGUGGAAGCUGGUAAUACUGUCAUACUUGAGUGCAGGAGAAGUUAACGGAACUCUAUAUGGAGCGGUAAAAUGUGACGAUAUAUAGAAGAACACCAAUACGGCGAAGGCAGUUAACUAUUCUGUUACUGACAUUGAGGCAUGAAAGCGUGGGGAGCAAAACGG